rnacentral:rRNA from 1 species
GAUGAACGCUAGCGAUAGGCUUAACACAUGCAAGUCGAGGGGCAGCACAAGGUAGCUUGCUAUCUGGGUGGCGACCGGCGCACGGGUGCGUAACGCGUAUGCAACUUGCCCUAUACAGGAGGAUAACCCGUCGAAAGACGGACUAAUACUGCGUAUGCUCACAACUUGGCAUCCAGUGGUGAGGAAAGAAAUUCGGUAUAGGAUAGGCAUGCGUCCCAUUAGCUUGUUGGUGAGGUAACGGCUCACCAAGGCAACGAUGGGUAGGGGAACUGAGAGGUUUAUCCCCCACACUGGUACUGAGACACGGACCAGACUCCUACGGGAGGCAGCGGUGAGGAAUAUUGGUCAAUGGGCGCGAGCCUGAACCAGCCAAGUCGCGUGAAGGAUGACUGUCUUAUGGAUUGUAAACUUCUUUUAUACGGGAAUAACAAGAGUCACGUGUGACUCCCUGCAUGUACCGUAUGAAUAAGCAUCGGCUAACUCCGUG